AAAAUUUAAAAUAAAAAUACUAAAAUAGUAAUUAAAUAUUUAUUGAAACUUAAAUAAUUUGGCGGUAUUUUAGUUCAUUUAGAGGAAUCUGUUUAAUAAUCGAUAUUCCACGAAUAAAUUUACUUAUUUUAUAAUUUUGUAUAUCGUUGUUAUAAAAAUAUUUUUUAAUAAAAAUUAAUAUUUAAAAAUUAAAAAAGAAAUUAAAUCAGAUCAAGAUGCAGAUUAUAAUUAAGAAUAUAAUGGAUUACAAUAAAUUUAUUUAAAUGGAUUUUAAUUUGUAAUAUUUAAUUAAAAGUGGAUUUAAAUGUAAUUUUAUUUAAUUUAAUAAAAUGAUUAAAAAUUAAAAUAUGU
rnacentral:rRNA from 1 species